rnacentral:rRNA from 1 species
AAACCAGCACCUCAAGUGGUCAGGAUGAUUAUUGGGCCUAAAGCAUCCGUAGCCUGCUCUGUAAGUUUUCGGUUAAAUCUGUACGCUUAACGUACAGGCUGCUGGGAAUACUGCAGAGCUAGGGAGUGGGAGAGGUAGACGGUACUCGGGAGGAAGUGGUAAAAUGCUUUGAUCUCUCGAUGACCACCUGUGGCGAAGGCGGUCUACCAGAACACGUCCGACGGUGAGGGAUGAAAGCUGGGGGAGCAAACCGGAUUAGAAACCCUGGUAGUCC